UACGGGGGGAGCAAGCGUUGUUCGGAUUUACUGGGCGUAAAGGGCGCGUAGGCGGCCUCUGCAAGUCGACUGUGAAAUCUCCGGGCUUAACCCGGAACGGUCAGCCGAUACUGCAGGGCUAGAGUGCAGAAGGGGCAACUGGAAUUCUCGGUGUAGCGGUGAAAUGCGUAGAUAUCAGGAGGAACACCGGUGGCGAAGGCGGGUCUCUGGGCCGAUACUGACGCUGAGGAGCGAAAGCGUGGGGAGCGAACAGG
rnacentral:rRNA from 1 species